UUAGCUCAUAUUUGUAUGGAAUGGGAUUGUGUGCGUAUGUUUGCCGCUAGGGGCGCUGUUCCAACUGCAUACAAAAUUGGGUUA
rfam:Bombyx mori DNA, contig: Bm_scaf4_contig4247, strain: p50T/Dazao, build 2, whole genome shotgun sequence.